rnacentral:rRNA from 1 species
UUUCGCAAUGCCCGAAAGGGUGACGAAGCGACGCCGCGUGAGUGAGGAAGGCCUUCGGGUUGUAAAGCUCUGUCAGGAGUUAAGAAAUAUAAGUGUGUUAAUACCACAUUUAUUUGACGAAGGCUCCAAAGGAAGCCACGGCUAACUCUGUGCCAGCAGCCGCGGUAAUACAGAGGUGGCAAGCGUUGUUCCGAAUUAUUGGGCGUAAAGAGCACGUAGGUGGGUUUGUAAGUCAGAUGUGAAAGCCUUCUGUUCAACGGAAGAAUUGCAUCUGAAACUGCGAGUCUUGAGUGUAGGAGGGGAGAAUGGAACUUCUGGUGGAGCGGUGAAAUGCGUAGAUAUCAGAAGGAACGCCGGCGGCGAAAGCGAUUCUCUGGCCUAUUACUGACACUCAGUGUGCGAAAGCUAGGGGAGCAAACGGGAUUAGAUACCCCGGUAGUCCUAGCUGUAAACGAUGGGCACUAAGUAGAGGGGUUUUG